rnacentral:rRNA from 1 species
UACGUAGGGUGCGAGCGUUGUCCGGAAUUAUUGGGCGUAAAGAGCUUGUAGGCGGUUUGUCGCGUCUGCUGUGAAAAUCCGGGGCUCAACCCCGGACUUGCAGUGGGUACGGGCAGACUAGAGUGUGGUAGGGGAGACUGGAAUUCCUGGUGUAGCGGUGGAAUGCGCAGAUAUCAGGAGGAACACCGAUGGCGAAGGCAGGUCUCUGGGCCACGACUGACGCUGAGAAGCGAAAGCAUGGGGAGCGAACAGG